rnacentral:rRNA from 1 species
AACGAACGCUGGCGGCAUGCCUAACACAUGCAAGUCGAACGAGACCUUCGGGUCUAGUGGCGCACGGGUGCGUAACGCGUGGGAACCUGCCCUUAGGUUCGGAAUAACUCCCCGAAAGGGGUGCUAAUACCGGAUAAUGUCUUCGGACCAAAGAUUUAUCGCCUUUGGAUGGGCCCGCGUUGGAUUAGCUAGUUGGUAGGGUAAAAGCCUACCAAGGCGACGAUCCAUAGCUGGUCUGAGAGGAUGAUCAGCCACACUGGGACUGAGACACGGCCCAGACUCCUACGGGAGGCAGCAGUGGGGAAUAUUGGACGAUGGGCGAAAGCCUGAUCCAGCAAUGCCGCGUGAGUGAUGAAGGCCUUAGGGUUGUAAAGCUCUUUUACCCGGGAUGAUAAUGACAGUACCGGGAGAAUAAGCACCGGCUAACUCCGUG